UACGGAGGGUGCGAGCGUUGUCCGGAAUCAUUGGGCGUAAAGGGCGCGUAGGUGGCCACUUCAAGCGUGCGGUGAAAGUCGGGGGCUCAACCCCUGAUCGGCCGUGCGAACUGGGGGGCUGGAGCACUGUAGAGGCAGGCGGAAUUCCGGGUGUAGCGGUGGAAUGCGUAGAGAUCCGGAAGAACACCGGUGGUGAAGGCGGCCUGCUGGGCAGUUUUGCUGACACUGAGGCGCGACAGCGUGGGGAGCAAACAGG
rnacentral:rRNA from 1 species